AACCUUAUGGACCUGCGGGCGUAUACCUGCGGAAGGAUCAUUACCGAGUUAGGGUGUCUGUUCGCAGCGCCCGACCUCCCAACCCUUUGUCUAUGAUACCUAAACAGUUGCUUCGGCGUGCCGAGGGGUCGUACCCUCGCCGGGCCUCACGGCCGGGAGCGCGCACGUCGACGGCCUUUAUCUAACACUUGAACCCAAAACCUGUCGUCUGAAAACUUGUGAUUAACCAAUAAUCAAAAG
rnacentral:misc_RNA from 1 species